AAAUAAUACCCCGGUAGUCCACGCCGUAAAACGAUGAGUGCUAAGUGUUAGAGGGUUUUCCGCCCGUUUUAGUGCUGCAGCUAACGCAUUAAGCACUCCGCCUGGGGAGUACGGCCGCAAGGCUGAAACUCAAAGGAAUUGACGGGGGCCCGCACAAGCGGUGGAGCAUGUGGUUUAAUUCGAAGCAACGCGAAGAACCUUACCAGGUCUUGACAUCCUCUGCCAACCCUAGAGAUAGGGCGUUCCCCUUCGGGGGACAGAGUGACAGGUGGUGCAUGGUUGUCGUCAGCUCGUGUCGUGAGAUGUUGGGUUAAGUCCCGCAACGAGCGCAACCCUUGAUCUUAGUUGCCAGCAUUUAGUUGGGCACUCUAAGGUGACUGCCGGUGACAAACCGGAGGAAGUGGGGAUGACGUCAAAUCAUCAUGCCCCUUAUGACCUGGGCUACACACGUGCUACAAUGGAUGGUACAAAGAGCUGCGAACCCGCGAGGGUAGGCUAAUCUCAUAAAGCCAGUUCUCGAGUUCGGA
rnacentral:rRNA from 1 species